CCUUUCGGGUGCGAUUAUGUGGAGCGUGAGGAGCUAAACGCCUUCAUGCCUGCGUAUUUGUACUCUGGGGUGUACUUGGACGUGCGGUAGGUUAACAUCAAUUUCGGAUGUCAUAAAAUGGCUGGAGGAAUGUAGCUUCGGUCUCGUACUGAAGUGUUAUAGCCUUUGGUAGAUGUGAUGACCGGGAUUGAGGAUUGCAACGAAUACCUUUUGGGCUAUCCGCCUGGUCUCUGAAAGUUGCUCUGGUGCCGAAAGCUUGCUUACGGUUAUCAAAGUUGACGUUCAAAAGGUUAGAGCAGGUUAAAUUCGUUAAGGAUGUUGACGUAA
rnacentral:rRNA from 1 species